rnacentral:tRNA from 1 species
GCCACAGUAGCUCAGUUGGGAGAGCGUUUGACUGAAAAUCUAAAGGGUCCCAGGCACUGGCA